AUGUCGGCCGUAUGCUUCUGUGCAAGCGUUACUACUCUCUGCCGUGACGUCGGGUCAAGCUCCACGCUGAUUUGUUCCAUUAUGGUGCGGCCACACCAGACGCGUAUCUCGCGUAAUAAGUACGCGAGAUACGCGUCUGACGGUCAGACGCGUAUCUCGCGUACUUCGCGUAGAAAGUUCAAUUUUUUGAACUCUUGAAAUGUACGCGAUAUACGCGCGUAUAGCGCGUAUUGCGCGUAUAUACGCGCCACAUACGCGCUAUACGCGCGUACAAUGUUGCUUAUACGCGUGAAACGCGUAAUAUGCGCGUAAACCAAUGGUUCCCUAUGGAAAAAAUGGCGAUUUUAUACGCAUAGUACGCGAGAUACGCGUCUGGUGUGGCCGCACCUUUAGUAGAUGGAACAAGGAGGUGUCCGAUAGGCGGAGAUGAUCAGCGGGAGUGGCCGCCAGCGAAGCUGUGCAUGGUGGGAGUUGUUGUCUUCAAUCCACAAGCGCCAAAAAGUCACUUUCUGCCUUUUCUCGGUCAAGACGGCACCAAAUUAGAAUUUUAUUUUAUUAUUCGACUACAUAUAGGACCCAAUUUCAAUACAUAUUCAUGCCUCCACCGGUGAAAUGCUCCUUUAAACACAGCUAAAACAGCACCUGCUUUCCUAAAAUUCAAGACAAAAUAUCAACAGUUUGUGCCAAAUAGAAAAGGAAAUGAUUGAUGAUUAAUGCAGUUAUUUUAAAAUAAACAAACUUAUCAUUGUUAAAAUGUAGUGCUAAUGUUAUGGUUAGUCAAGGUUUUACCUUGUGAUAAACAAUGAGCCUUUCAGAUGCAGCAUCUGCACUGAUCUUCACAGCCUUCUUGCCGACAGGUUGUGGUGGGAGGAGGUGUAUUAAGAGCAGUAGAGUAGCUAUAUCCGUGUCCCAUUCUAAGGAGAAAGAUAAUUAAGUCUGUUGUCUUCAACAAUUAACCCAACAAACUUUAGACAUUGUGUAAAUCAUCUAUGGCCCGAGAGCGGUAUCGCAGGGUGAGGGCCAUGAGAGGGUGCCACAGACAGACAUUUUGUCCUUUAUAGAUAGAAGAUAGAUACUUCAAAUUUGAUUCCACAUCUCAGAAAAGUUAGGACCAGGGUAACAAAGAGCAACACAAGCUGAAUAAUGCUUAAGUCAAGACAAGUAAAU
rnacentral:lncRNA from 1 species